rnacentral:hammerhead_ribozyme from 1 species
AUUGGGCCGACGAGUCCCAAAUAGAACGAAAUGCGCAUCCUGGAU